GGCUUCUUUUAGAAGUAGGAGAGGAUGAAUAGACUCUCCUAUUCAAUUCUGGGGAGCUGGAGAGGGCUUUCCCAGCCAAGAGGACUGACAAGCACUUCUGCUUUCAUUUCAUGGAACGCCCCUAGGUGAAAUCUGGUUCUGCACUGCACCAACCACCUUCCCUCUCUCCUCCGCGCCGCAGCGCACUCCAACCUUCUCACCGUCCCCCAGGUUCAGGGGUACGGAGCAAGUUUCUUCUGUAGAUAAAUUAUGUGUCACAGGAGUUUGGUGUACAGAUCAUCACCCAGACUCCUGGCACCUUAUGCUUGUCACCAACCCUUCUCCUCCAAAUCUGAUACACCAGACUUUCUGAGAACCUGUGCUUUAAUGAGUAAACUCAUGCAGCUGCAACAAAUGCUGCCACCUCCUGGCAUCUUUUAAAAAGAUAUAAAGGUAAAUGCUAUCUAAGCCACAGUAACCUUGGGAUACUGUGGGCCUGGGGCAGAGAAGAGCAUCUGUAGAAGAGGCAGUGGACCACAGUACUGGAUCUGGAAAUCCUGAGCCUUUUCUUGUUGAGGAGCAAUGAGUACCUAUUUGGGAUUUCUGGUGAGUAACAUCACCUGCCUCCUCUGACAGAACUCCCUCAUCAUGUCAUUGAUUUCUCAGUGAACCAUACUCUAAAGGUAUUGCUA